AAGGAGCAAUCUGGAGCAAACCCCAAAAAUAAACGUCUCAGUUCGGACUGUGGUCUGCAACCCGACCACACGAAGCUGGAAUCGCUAGUAAUCGCGAAUCAGAAUGUCGCGGUGAAUACGUUCCCGGGUCUUGUACACACCGCCCGUCACACCAUGGGAGUCGGAAAUGCCCGAAGUCAGUGACCCAACCACAACGUGAACUCCGUUCGCGUGGAGGGGGCUGCCGAAGGUGGUGCCGGUAACUGGGGUGAAGUCGUAACAAGGUAUC
rnacentral:rRNA from 1 species